rnacentral:ncRNA from 1 species
ACCAUUCUUUUCUUGGGUUUGUGCUACUGUCCAAUGAGCACAUAGUGAGGGCAAUACUGCUAACACAUACCAAAAAAAAGAGCAAAAAUAAACAUAAAAAACAGAAGUAAUUUCCAGAGAC